UUAAGUUCAGCGGGUAGUCCUACCUGAUUUGAGGUCAGAUUUCAAAGGUUGACCGCCACUCCAAGAGGCAGGUCGGGGGAGGGCACAGAAGGGGAACGUCUCUGUCGAGCGAGGAUGGUACAACGCCCAGUCGAGUUCGACCCACAGGCCCAACCGAUGCAUUUGAGGGGAGCCGCCUCACGGCAGCAAAGCCCCCACAU
rnacentral:misc_RNA from 1 species